rnacentral:rRNA from 1 species
CAGUAAGGAAUAUUGGUCAAUGGGGGCAACCCUGAACCAGCCAUGCCGCGUGCAGGAAGACAGCCCUAUGGGUCGUAAACUGCUUUUGUACGGGAACAAACCUCUCCUCGUGAGGAGAGCUGAGCGUACCGUAAGAAUAAGGAUCGGCUAACUCCGUGCCAGCAGCCGCGGUAAUACGGAGGAUCCGAGCGUUAUCCGGAUUUAUUGGGUUUAAAGGGAGCGUAGGCGGCCCGUUAAGUCAGGGGUGAAAGACGGUGGCUCAACCAUCGCAGUGCCUUUGAUACUGACGGGCUUGAAUACACUUGAGGUAGGCGGAAUGUGACAAGUAGCGGUGAAAUGCAUAGAUAUGUCACAGAACACCGAUUGCGAAGGCAGCUUACUAAAGUGUGAUUGACGCUGAGGCUCGAAAGCGUGGGGAUCAAACAGGAUUAGA